UACGUAGGGGGGCAAGCGUUGUCCGGAAUCAUUGGGCGUAAAGCGCGCGUAGGCGGCUCGAUCAGUCUGCUGUAAAAGUCAAAGGCUCAACCUUUGAAUGCCGGUGGAUACUGUCGAGCUAGAGUCCGGAAGAGGCGAGUGGAAUUCCUGGUGUAGCGGUGGAAUGCGCAGAUAUCAGGAGGAACACCAACGGCGAAGGCAGCUCGCUGGGACGGUACUGACGCUGAGGCGCGAAAGCGUGGGGAGCGAACAGG
rnacentral:rRNA from 1 species